rnacentral:rRNA from 1 species
GGACUACAAGGGUUUCUAAUCCUGUUUGCUCCCCUUGCUUUCGUGCCUCAGCGUCCAGAGUAGGCUAGAAAACCGCUUUCGCCACAGGUGUUCUUCCACAUAUCUACGCAUUUCACCGCUACACGUGGAAUUCCGUUUUCUCCGCCAUUCUGCUAGAUGGGCAGUUUCAGAUGCAGCUCCGGGGUUGAGCCCCGGAAUUUCACGUCUGACUUACCUAUCCGCCUACGCACCCUUUACGCCCAGUCAUUCCGAUUAACGCUUGCACCCUCCGUAUUACCGCGGCUGCUGGCAC